rnacentral:rRNA from 1 species
GGUAUGCUUACACAUGCAAGUCGAACGGUCUUUUCGGAAAUAGUGGCGGACGGGUGAGUAACGCGUGAGAAUCUGGCUUCAGGUCGGGGACAACCACUGGAAACGGUGGCUAAUACCGGAUAUGCCGAGAGGUGAAAGGCUAGCUGCCUGAAGAUGAGCUCGCGUCUGAUUAGCUAGUAGGUGUGGUAAAGGCGCACCUAGGCGACGAUCAGUAGCUGGUCUGAGAGGAUGAUCAGCCACACUGGGACUGAGACACGGCCCAGACUCCUACGGGAGGCAGCAGUGGGGAAUUUUCCGCAAUGGGCGAAAGCCUGACGGAGCAAUACCGCGUGAGGGAGGAAGGCUCUUGGGUUGUAAACCUCUUUUCUCAGGGAAGAAAAAAAUGACGGUACCUGAGGAAUAAGCAUCGGCUAACUCCGUGCCAGCAGCCGCGGUAAUACGGAGGAUGCAAGCGUUAUCCGGAAUGAUUGGGCGUAAAGGGUCCGCAGGUGGCCAUGUAAGUCUGCUGUUAAAGAAUGAGGCUUAACCUCAUCAGAGCGGUGGAAACUACAGAGCUAGAGUGCGGUCGGGGUAGAGGGAAUUCCUGGUGUAGCGGUGAAAUGCGUAGAUAUCAGGAAGAACACCAGUGGCGAAAGCGCUCUACUAGACCAUAACUGACACUGAGGGACGAAAGCUAGGGGAGCGAAUGGGAUUAGAUACCCCAGUAGUCCUAGCCGUAAACGAUGGAUACUAGGC